rnacentral:rRNA from 1 species
CUACGGGAGGCAGCAGUGGGGAAUUUUGGACAAUGGGGGCAACCCUGAUCCAGCCAUGCCGCGUGUGUGAAGAAGGCCUUCGGGUUGUAAAGCACUUUUGUACGGGAAGAAAUGGUGCGGGUUAAUAACCCGUAUUGAUGACGGUACCGUAAGAAUAAGCACCGGCUAACUUCGUGCCAGCAGCCGCGGUAAUACGAAGGGUGCAAGCGUUACUCGGAAUUACUGGGCGUAAAGCGUGCGUAGGCGGUUCGUUAAGUCAGAUGUGAAAGCCCCGGGCUCAACCUGGGAAUUGCAUUUGAUACUGGCGGGCUAGAGUUCGAUAGAGGGUCGCGGAAUUCCCGGUGUAGCGGUGAAAUGCGUAGAGAUCGGGAGGAACAUCAGUGGCGAAGGCGGCGACCUGGAUCAGAACUGACGCUGAGGCACGAAAGCGUGGGGAGCAAACAGGAUUAGAUACCCUUGUAGUCC